AGUGAACGCUGGCGGUAGGCCUAACACAUGCAAGUCGAACGGCAGCACAGUAAGAGCUUGCUCUUACGGGUGGCGAGUGGCGGACGGGUGAGGAAUACAUCGGAAUCUACUUUUUCGUGGGGGAUAACGUAGGGAAACUUACGCUAAUACCGCAUACGACCUACGGGUGAAAGCAGGGGAUCUUCGGACCUUGCGCGAUUGAAUGAGCCGAUGUCGGAUUAGCUAGUUGGCGGGGUAAAGGCCCACCAAGGCGACGAUCCGUAGCUGGUCUGAGAGGAUGAUCAGCCACACUGGGACUGUGACACGGUCCCGACUCCUACGGGAGGCAGCAGCGGGGAAUAUUAGACAAUAGGCGCAAGCCUGAUCCAGCCAUACCGCGUGGGUGAAGAAGGCCUUCGGGUUGUAAAGCCCUUUUGUUGGGAAAGAAAAGCAGCAGGUUAAUACCACGCUGUUCUGACGGUACCCAAAGAAUAAGCACCGGCUAACUUCGUG
rnacentral:rRNA from 1 species